CAACCCUCAGGACCCCUCGCGGGACCUGGCGUUGGGGAUCGGCUCGCCCUUAGCGGCUGCCGGCCCUGAAAUACAGUGGCGGUCUCAUCGCGACCUCCCCUGCGUAGUAGUGAUACCUCGCAGCCGGAUAGCGGUGCGGCCACGCCGUAAAACACCCCACUUCUCAA
rnacentral:misc_RNA from 1 species